GCUAUAAUCCUAGCCUAAACUCACUAAACCUACCAAAAAGAUUAAUAAACCAUUUAAUUAAGUAGUAUAGGCGAUAGAAACUUAUCAUGAGCAAUAGAAAAAGUACUGUGAAGGAAAGGUGAAAUAAAAAUGAAAUAAAUAAUAAAAACAAUAAAAAGAAAAGACUAAACCUUCUACCUUUUGCAUAAUGGUCUAGUAAGUCUGACCUAGCAAAAAGAAAUAAAGUUAGCCACCCCGAAACUAGACGAGCUAUUUAAAAACAGCACUAUGGGGCCAACCCGUCUCUGUGGCAAAAGAGUGGGAAGAUUUUUAAAUAGAGGUGAAAAGCCUAACGAGCCUAGUGAUAGCUGGUUGCUUGAAAAAUGAAUAUAAGUUCAGCUUAAAGCACUCUAGAUUACAAAAUAAGAAUAGCACUUUAAAGUCAGUCAAUAGGGGUACAGCUCUAUUGACAAAGGAUACAACCUAUAACCUGAAUAAAGAUUAUACUAAUAAAAGACACUAACCACGUAGGCCUAAAAGCAGUCACCACAUGAAAGCGUCAAAGCUCAGUUUAACUAACACCCUUAUUAUUUGAAUAAAACAUCUAAAUUCACAACAAUAUCAAGCCUAUCUACUUAGUAGAUGAGUUUAUACUAGAAUGAGUAACAAGAAGACAUUCUUUAUAUGCGAGCGUAGAUCAGAACGAAAGAAUCACUGAUAAUUAACGACACAAAUAUUACAGCACAAGAAACUAUAUUUAAGUUACCGUUAACCCGACACAGGAGCAUUAAAAAAAGACUAAAAGAUUAAAAAGGAACUCGGCAACCAUGAAUUUCGCCUGUUUAUCAAAAACAUCGCCUCUUGCUAUAAUAGUAUAAGAGGUCACGCCUGCCCAGUGAUAAAUUUUAACGGCCGCGGUAUCAUGACCGUGCGAAGGUAGCGUAAUCACUUGUCCUUUAAAUAAGGACCUGUAUGAAAGGCAAAACGAAAAUUCAACUGUCUCUUUAAUCUUGUCAGUGAAAUUUAUCUCUUCGUGCAGAAGCGAAGAUAAUUAUAUAAGACGAGAAGACCCUAUGGAGCUUAAAACAUAAGACUAGCUACAUCAAUAUACAGACCAACCGGUGAAAGAUAAAUACAUGUAGUCGUUAGCCUAAGUUUUCGGUUGGGGCGACCACGGAAGAAAAAAAAUCCUCCGAGAUAAUAACUUAGAAAGAUACCUCAAAGACUAAAACAUUUGUUAUAAAUGAUCCACUAAGUGACCAACAAACCAAGUUACCCUAGGGAUAACAGCGCAAUCCUUUCUAAGAGUCCAUAUCGACGAAUGGGUUUACGACCUCGAUGUUGGAUCAGGACACCCAAAUGGUGCAGCCGCUAUUAAAGGUUCGUUUGUUCAACGAUUAAAGUCCUACGUGAUCUGAGUUCAGACCGGAGUAAUCCAGGUCAGUUUCUAUCUAUAAUAAAUUUUUUCUAGUACGAAAGGACCGAAGAAAUAGAGCCUCUUGAAAACAAAGCUCUAGAAAAACUGAAGACAAAUAAAGCAACCAUAAAAUAUACCCUUAGAGCAAGGGAUUA
rnacentral:rRNA from 1 species